rnacentral:rRNA from 1 species
UAGCCGUAAACGAUACUCGCUAGGUGUCGGCCACGGUGCGACCGUUGUCGGUGCCGUAGGGAAGCCGUGAAGCGAGCCACCUGGGAAGUACGGCCGCAAGGCUGAAACUUAAAGGAACUGGCGGGGGGAGGCACAACAACGGGUGGAGCUUGCGGUUUAAUUGGACUCAACGCCGGGAAGCUCACCGGAUAAGACAGCGGAAUGAUUGCCGGGCUGAAGACCCUGCAUGACCAGCUGAGAGGAGGUGCAUGGCGUAGUCGUGU